rnacentral:rRNA from 1 species
AUGAACGCUAGCUACAGGCUUAACACAUGCAAGUCGAGGGGCAUCAGGAAGAAAGCUUGCUUUCUUUGCUGGCGACCGGCGCACGGGUGAGUAACACGUAUCCAACCUGCCCUUUACUCGGGGAUAGCCUUUCGAAAGAAAGAUUAAUACCCGAUGGCAUAAUGAUUCCGCAUGGUUUCAUUAUUAAAGGAUUCCGGUAAAGGAUGGGGAUGCGUUCCAUUAGGUUGUUGGUGAGGUAACGGCUCACCAAGCCUUCGAUGGAUAGGGGUUCUGAGAGGAAGGUCCCCCACAUUGGAACUGAGACACGGUCCAAACUCCUACGGGAGGCAGCAGUGAGGAAUAUUGGUCAAUGGGCGCUAGCCUGAACCAGCCAAGUAGCGUGAAGGAUGAAGGCUCUAUGGGUCGUAAACUUCUUUUAUAUAAGAAUAAAGUGCAGUAUGUAUACUGUUUUGUAUGUAUUAUAUGAAUAAGGAUCGGCUAACUCCGUGCCAGCAGCCGCGGUAAUACGGAGGAUCCGAGCGUUAUCCGGAUUUAUUGGGUUUAAAGGGAGCGUAGGUGGACUGGUAAGUCAGUUGUGAAAGUUUGCGGCUCAACCGUAAAAUUGCAGUUGAUACUGUCAGUCUUGAGUACAGUAGAGGUGGGCGGAAUUCGUGGUGUAGCGGUGAAAUGCUUAGAGAUCAUACAGAACACCGAUUGCGAAGGCAGCUUACCAAACUAUAUCUGACGUUGAGGCACGAAAGCGUGGGGAGCAAACAGGAUUAGAUACCCUGGUAGUCCACACAGUAAACGAUGAAUACUCGCUGUUUGCGAUAUACAGUAAGCGGCCAAGCGAAAGCAUUAAGUAUUCCACCUGGGGAGUACGCCGGCAACGGUGAAACUCAAAGGAAUUGACGGGGGCCCGCACAAGCGGAGGAACAUGUGGUUUAAUUCGAUGAUACGCGAGGAACCUUACCCGGGCUUAAAUUGCAGUGGAAUGAUGUGGAAACAUGUCAGUGAGCAAUCACCGCUGUGAAGGUGCUGCAUGGUUGUCGUCAGCUCGUGCCGUGAGGUGUCGGCUUAAGUGCCAUAACGAGCGCAACCCUUAUCUUCAGUUACUAACAGGUCAUGCUGAGGACUCUGGAGAGACUGCCGUCGUAAGAUGUGAGGAAGGUGGGGAUGACGUCAAAUCAGCACGGCCCUUACGUCCGGGGCUACACACGUGUUACAAUGGGGGGUACAGAAGGCAGCUAGCGGGUGACCGUAUGCUAAUCCCAAAAGCCUCUCUCAGUUCGGAUCGAAGUCUGCAACCCGACUUCGUGAAGCUGGAUUCGCUAGUAAUCGCGCAUCAGCCACGGCGCGGUGAAUACGUUCCCGGGCCUUGUACACACCGCCCGUCAAGCCAUGGGAGCCGGGGGUACCUGAAGUACGUAACCGCAAGGAUCGUCCUAGGGUAAAACUGGUGACUGGGGCU